CUUAGUUUAACUGUUGUACCCCAUCAGAACCCAAAAUAUAACCUUGUUUUAUCUCAAUGUUUGUAAACUAAGUAAAUGUAAGCGAACUCUGUACAGCCUCCAAACAUAUUUAAAACUAUAAUGUUGAUACAGUAUCAUGGAUGGUCAGUCCUUGCAUCCAUCUCUCUGUCUAUGAAUUUGAGAGUGAUAUUAUUUCUCCAGCCCCUCCCUUAGCUUUUACCAAAACAACAGUGGCUGGGAUCACACUUUGUUAUUGUUUCAACUUCUGAUUGGCCCUAGAUGUUCCUUCUGAUGUUYGAACAGUGGUAUGAGACAAGGGCCGGGAUUCAAUUCAAGGCGCAUUAUAACACAGCACACUGUAACAGACUUUUAAAGUUAUUUUAUGCUUGAGUCGACAUGUGCAGUGUUUAUCAUGAAUGUGAUCUCUGUGAAUGCCGGUGGAAAAUGUCUUUAAAAAGUGCAUUGUCAGCUGUGAAGUGCCCUGCUGUAUAACGCACAUUGGAUUGAAUCCCAACCAAGGAGUCCCAGAGAGAGACUAUAUCUUCUAGUGUUCAUGUUAAUGAUGUUCUCACUGUCUUCCAUCUACUCUACAUAUUUACAGUGAACCUCUGGUCCCAGAAUAGUAAGUAGUGUGUUCAGAUCAACAUUUUGAUAUCAUUAUUAGAACCGCAAAAGUCUAAUUAUCUCUAAUAUACAGACUUUAAGUAGGAAAACAUUUUAAGAAGAUUAUUUUGAGCACAUGUAAGAUGUUCCUUCUGAUGAUGGAACAUUGAUAUGAGACAAGGAGUCCCAGAGAGAGACUACAUCUACUAGUGUUCAUGUUAAUGAUGUUCUCACUGUAUUCCAUCUACUCUACAUGUUUACAGAGGACCUCAGGAAGGACAAGGUUGACCUUUGGGAGCAGAAUAAGGACCUCACUGGGAAGCUAAUGAACCUCACUGGGAAGCUAGAGGUUGAAAACAAUCCCACCAGUAAACUGG